rnacentral:rRNA from 1 species
GUGUCAGCCGCCGCGGUAAUACGAGGGGAGCUAGCGUUAUUCGGAAUUACUGGGCGUAAAGCGCACGUAGGCGGCUUUGUAAGUUAGAGGUGAAAGCCCGGGGCUCAACUCCGGAAUUGCCUUUAAGACUGCAUCGCUUGAAUCCAGGAGAGGUGAGUGGAAUUCCGAGUGUAGAGGUGAAAUUCGUAGAUAUUCGGAAGAACACCAGUGGCGAAGGCGGCUCACUGGACUGGUAUUGACGCUGAGGUGCGAAAGCGUGGGGAGCAAACAGGAUUAGAAACCCGGGUAGUCC